AUAAUGGGGAGGCAAAACUAAUGAAAAUAGAGACGCAAAGUUACAGACCUAAGUUGUUGCUAAGGUGGCUGAUUUGCUGUG
rnacentral:ncRNA from 1 species